UACGGGGGGAGCAAGCGUUGUUCGGAUUUACUGGGCGUAAAGGGCGCGUAGGCGGCCACCGCAAGUCAGUUGUGAAAUCUCUGGGCUUAACCCAGAAAGGUCAACUGAUACUGCGGGGCUAGAGUGCAGAAGGGGCAACUGGAAUUCUCGGUGUAGCGGUGAAAUGCGUAGAUAUCAAGAGGAACACCUGAGGUGAAGACGGGUUGCUGGGCUGACACUGACGCUGAGGCGCGAAAGCCAGGGGAGCAAACGGG
rnacentral:rRNA from 1 species